AGUCUGCAACUCGACUACAUGAAGCUGGAAUCGCUAGUAAUCGCGGAUCAGAAUGCCGCGGUGAAUACGUUCCCGGGUCUUGUACACACCGCCCGUCACACCAUGGGAGUCGGAAAUGCCCGAAGUCUGUGACCCAACCGAAAGGAGGGAGCAGCCGAAGGCAGGUCGGAUGACUGGGGUGAAGUCGUAACAAGGUACC
rnacentral:rRNA from 1 species